UGUCAUUCGACGGGGCAAGCGAUGAAGUCAGCAUGAUGUCAUCUAGAGAGCCUGGCAAGGUGAAAUAGGGUUUUGGUGAGGGGUAUUCUUCACGGCCUGCGUUGCCUACCCAGAGAGAGAGGCGCGGAGCUGCGAAACAUGGUAAUCACCACCACCACCUCAAGCUCUGCCGUGCGCUCUCCCGUUUCCUCUCUUCUGCACCGGGGCAGUCGUCUAAUGCCCAAAGCCCAGAUCCGCGUUCCAAAAAUAAUCCUCUGCCAGCAUGCCGAAGGAAGAAAAACAAGGAGAGCGGUAUUUUUAGGGCCAUUAAUUUUGACCACGUGCCCCGAAGGUAAACCGGAUGGCCAUUGCGCAAAGGCUCCUCAUCAGUAUGUCCCACGAGGCCAGCACGCACUGGACGUUGACUGCAAUUGUUCUCUUGGGGUUCCUGGUUGGGAUUGUGUCAUCAUAUCCUAUUCCAAGCAGGACGAAUGCAACUUUAUUGGAAAAAAGAUGGGAGACCCUGUUCUCCCGCUCUAUACUGGGUAUCUCGGGGGAGAAAUCGGACCUGAACUGGGAGAGUGACUAUUUGCUGGGUAUCAAAAGAGUGCGAAGACUGUACUGCAACGUAGGCAUCGGGUUUCACCUUCAGGUCCUCCCCGGCGGGAUAAACGGUGUACAUAAUGAAAACCAGUACAGUUUAAUAGAGAUCUCGACGGUAGAGCGAGGAGUGGUCAGCCUCUACGGGGUGAAGAGUGAGCUGUUUGUCGCAAUGAAUAGCCUGGGAAGGUUAUACGGAACGACAGUCUUCCAUGAUGAGUGCAAGUUCAAGGAGACCUUGCUGCCAAACAACUACAACGCCUAUGAGUCCUCCAUGUACAGAGGCUUCUACAUCGCCCUCAGUAAACAUGGCCGCCUGAAGAGGGGCAGUAAAGCCACCACUGCCAUGACGGUCACACACUUCCUACCCCGAAUAUGAUCAAAACUAAACAACCUGGCAAUAACUCACUAUAUUUGCACAUGUGGAUUAAUUUCCCAGAGGCCAUAGCUAGGAAAGAAGAGGAGGAGGAUAAGCCAAACAGGACAGAGAGAGACAGAGGACACAUAUGGAGCUGCACAAGAUGUCCAGCAGUGUUUGUUUAACCUGGUGAUGAGGUAGAUCGUGUUGCACAGGCCCCCUGCGUUCCCCAAUGCAAAUACCUGAGGACCCCUCACCUGUCCCUCGGUCAGUUGGGGAAACAGUGAGACAGUUUUGUCUGCGUCAACCCUUGAUCUUCCAGCUCCCUCCCCUCCUCACAUAUCAACCAUGUUAGUCGAAGGACAAAUGGGCCGGUGGUCUCUCUCAGCCUUUGGUAGGAUAGACAGUGAGGUUGCUCCCAAACUGUCUGUCUGGCUUGUAUAUACAUUUAAAUUAAUAUGUUAUUCCUUAAUCCAUACAAUGGGUGUGCAUCUCAAAUAUGUUUUAGAAUAUGAUUUAACUGUGGAAGAUCUCUGAUAGCUAACAACCGUACGGUCAUUUUGGGGUCUAGAGGACAGGUUGUGUCAGCUAGCCAAUAGCCCUACAGUAGCCCUGCUAAUUCUAACAGGCGCUCCUUCUCUGUAGCUUAGUGUGAUAGGACAAUAUUCUCUGUAGCUUAGUGUGAUUGGACAAUAUUCUCUGUAGUUUAGUGUGAUAGGACAGCCUUCUCUGUAGCUUAGUGUGAUAGGACAGUCUUCUCUGUAGCUUAGUGUGAUAGGACAAUAUUCUCUGUAGCUUAGUGUGAUAUGACAGCCUUCUCUGUAGCUUAGUGUGUUAGGACAGUCUUCUCUGUAGCUUAGUGUGAUAGGACAAUAUUCUCUGUAGCUUAGUGUGAUAGGACAGCCUUCUCUGUAGCUUAGUGUGUUAGGACAGUCUUCUCUGUAGCUUAGCGUGAUAGGACAGGAAGGGCAUAUCUUCAGCAGCUGACUGAGAUAACACAUGCGGCUAGAGAACAUCUCUGAAUGUUUGUGCUCAUCAUCUCUUUUUCCGUGCUAGCGGCAGCAGAGAUGCUAUCAGAUCAAUUUACCUUGAGUCAGGAAGAGCAGGGCAUUGUCUGGCUUUGCUAGUAACCGCACUGCUCCAUUCUGCAAGGGAGGCAAGCAGACAGUUAGACAGACAGGCAGUUAUUCAGGGAGGCAAGCCGGCAGGCAGACAGACAGACAGGCAGUUAAGAGGCAGGCAGGUAGCCAGGCAAGCAACAGACAAACCCUUUUGGCAAUGACCUCAUCAGCCCUGAUAAAAAAGAGGCCAUUAGAUCACUCUUGAUAAUGGCUAACCAAUGGUUCAUGCAAGAAAGCAAGACGGUUAAGUGUUGUGCUAGGAAACAGUGAUGGAGUGCACUUCCUGUAAGUGCAAUGAUCAGAAACAGGGAGCAACACCAGCUUGGUGCUGCCAGGAUGCAGCAACACUGUUAACUCUGCUGGUUAGUCCACUGUGCAGUGUUGUGUGUCUCACCAGUGGUGAGAAUAAUAUGUAUUAUAAAUAAUAAUACAAACAGGAAUGGAUAAUAUCCUGAUCAUAUCCUGUUCACCAUGUCUUUUGUCAUUGAUCAAUACUCAUUAGAUAAUGUAUAGAACAUUCUGGAGAUCACCUGUCAGAUCAGGAUGAGUGUGGAAGUCACCUGAAUGUUGCUGCUUCAGGGGUUGAAAUGGCCGCAACAACUGUAGAAAAGAUGAAUGUGAAUAUCUCAUCCUAAGCUGCCCCCGAGAUCUCAAUAUAAGCACUUGUGAAGUCCCCCCCCCCCCCCCCCCCUAAAUGCACUGGUCUACAUCUGAAAGGACUUUAUAAAAGAAACAUGACCAUUUUGUUUAUAGUUCCUAUCCAACCAUCCAAGAAUUGUUUUUCUUGGGUGAGGCAGCGUGAGGAGUGAUGUGGAGCUGGGCAUGUGUGUCGCUGAGCUGGCCCUGUGUGUGUGGAG